GCCUUCUUAUCUCAGGUGGUAGAGCGUUCAACUCGUAUGGAAGGCAAUGGAAAGGUCGCUAGCUCUGAAUCGAAUCUGGUGGGAGGCA